UUGGUCACUUUGAUUCAGGGUAACUUCGUGAGAAAACGCAGCUAAAAUUAUGAAGAUUGGUGUUGCCAUUCUGUUCGCUUUUCUCCUCGUGGUUCAAACUGACGCCUUCACUGGUGGAGCCCGAUAUGGGAAAAGAUCUUUCCGUCUUGGGUGUCGCUCAGGCAACCCCGCAAGUUGCAAUCAAGAUUCAAUCCGCCGCUAUCCACCACACCUCGAGUACCCUGAUUUCGAAGACCGCUCCUCCCGCGAAAAUAGACGAUAAAAUACAAACGAUAAACGACUAAACGCCCGGGAAAUAAUGCUAAAAGAUCUUACCAUAAAAUAUUAUAACUAAGAAUAUAAACUAAGAUUGAAGCAUGCAAGAUGUAUAUCUAUGACUAAUUUCAUCAGUAGCAAUAAUAAAUAACUAGUUUGGACUC